GCUAAUAUAUUAUUCUUACCACUCUGCCCUUAAGAAGGUACUUGGAAGCUGGAUCCAUCUUGACCCUAGUUUUCUCGGAAGCUUCUUGCCCCUUCUUUCCCUUCACCAUCCUCUCGCCUCCGUCACCGCCACCUCCACCGCCGUCACUGCUGCUGGUGCCUUUGCCUCUGCCACCGCCACCCCUUUUACUUUUCCUUUCCUGUCCUACUCUCGGGUGGCCCGGGGUUGAGCGACGAAGUAUCCGUCUCCUUCUCUCCCGUUUCUGCGGUAUUUGUUCUUCGUAGUGAUAUAAAGAAGGGGUGGGUCGAGCCGGCAAAUCUACAAUCGUACACAAGGUUCAGCGCCGAAGUAUCCGUCUCCUUUUCUCUCGUUUCGGUCAACUCCUCGUCAACCCGUAUUUACUCUUCGUAGUGAUAUAAAGAAGGGGUGGGUCGAGCCCGUAAAUCUAAAAUCAUACGUAAGAUGAACUGCAGAAAUACAAUGCUAUGAUAGGAUGGAUCCUGAAGGCAAGAAAUUUGGAAGAGGGCCUAGAGAACUUACAGGUGCUGUUGAUUUGAUAAACCACUACAAGCUAUCAGGACAUCAUGAUUUCUUUUGCAAAAGAAGUCUUCCUUUGUCAGUUGCGGACACACAUUAUCUUCACAAUGUUGUCGGAGACACAGAAAUUAGAAAGGGAGAAGGCAUGGAGCUGGGUCAACUUUUUCAGGGUGCUCCAUACUUGAGAGAGUCAACCGCUCAGAUACAACAAUUUGACUUGGAAAUACUAGGGCAAGCAUUUCAACUGCGAGAUACAGCCCCUAUUGACUUGCCAAUGUCAGACAAAGGAGUACCUACAAUUCCUGGGAAAUCAAAAGGAGAUUCUAAGGACAAGGAGAGGAAGCACAGAAAGCACAAGGACAAAGAUAGGGAGAAGGACAAGGAGCAUAAGAAGCGCAAACAUCGCCAUAAAGAUCGGAGUAAAGAUAAAGAUCGAGAGAAAAAGAAGGAUAGAAGUGGACAUCAUGAUUCUAGUGGUGAUCAUUCAAAGAAGCAUCAUGAGAAGAAGAGGAAACAUGAUGGUACUGGAGAUUCCGUUGAUAAUCACAAGCACAAGAAAAGUAAGCAUAAGAGUCCAAAGGUUGAAGAAGUGGGAGGGAUUAAAGUUGCAAGCUGAUACAAGUUAAAACACUUCUUGUCUUUCUUCAUUGUCUUACUAUCAAACUUGCUGAUGGAGAAGAUUAAUUCGAAGAUUUCUUAUCUUGCACCAGAAUUCUUUAAGUUUUACAAGCCUGGAAUGGGCAUGCGGUCCUGGAGAAGUUGGUAGUCCAUGCAACUCCUUGCAGGGUUAAGACAACUCCUGAUUUGGGAGGCUUGGCCAACUGGCCUUUCAAGCCCUCUUCAGAUAAGGUAAUGCAAAUGCAUCCUUGCUGUUGGCUCAGGAUGCCGGAAACAGAGUUUGUGGGUAGCACAGUUAACACAAAUAUGUUGAUGCCUGUUUUAUGGGAUGCAGAUGCAGGUCUGACUGCCUACUCCUUAAGUGGUUAACUUUUCUGUCUGAGGCAUAGAACUUUCUCUUCUUGGUUGAUCUUGUGAUUAUUAAAAGACAAGUUUGAAGUUUUGAAGUUGGAUGUAAAAGAAAUUUUUGUAUUAGUGCAAUUAUCUGUCAUGAUAAGUUAUUUUGUUCCUCUGCAGUCAUUUGUUUCUAAAUGACAAUUAAUUUGUUAAUUUGGACUACUGAAUGGUUUUCUCUCAAGUAGAUUGCUUGUUUCAUCUAUAGGUGAUAAGUACUUCAUAUGCUAUAUAGAGUAACACUAUUUGUCUUAAACAGCAGCAAAAGGGAGCAUAGAAGGAUUGAUAACUAGAAUAAAAUAAAAAAUGAUAACUGAUAAUAUAAUCCACUAAUUUUUUACAUGUAUUAGUGGAUCAUGUUCAUCGACCUUAAUAUUUUUUGUUCUCACAUAUUUGUAUUCUUACUUUCUUGGUUGUAUAUUUUUCUUUUAAUUGUCUUCAUAUUUGUUUUUGCGAUCUUGGUCAACAUAUUUUUCAGAGGUGCCUAGAAAAAGAAUCAUGUUUCUUAAUCCAGUCCUGUCUGAACUAGAGUGAAACCAUUGGAUAUUAUCAAACCAGUUGUGGGAUUAUCUUGUUGUAAGAAAGCUAAUUUUCUUCUUGUAUACUUCAUAAGAAAUUCUAUCUUCAGUGUCAAACAUUAGAAAUUUGUAACAUUUGUUGAUAUUUCUCUAACUAUUUAUAUUUAUUCACUUCGAAUUCAUAGUGUGUGUUCUUCUAGUUGUAUAUCCAGUAUCCAUAGUUGACUUUUUCUGCUCUUUGUAACUCAUUGAGAACAAUCUUGACUUUUGUUGCUCUUCAUAGCAAGGACCAUCAUGCUGGACCGACUGGUGGUAUCGGUCCUUGGGCAGACUGAUAUGUAUUGGUUGGUACCGGUAUAUCAUGUGUUGGUAUGCUAGUAUGUUCUGGUUUUUGAUAAAAGACCUGAAAAUGACUGAAAAUAGAAAAAAUAUUUUUUAGGAUUUCUCUUAAUCUAUUGGUAUAUAAAGUUCAUUUAGAUAAGAAUAAUGUGUAUCAAUGCCAUAAAUGAAUAGGUUAUAAGAAGGAAAUAUUGAGUUUAUCUUUUUGGAUCCGUCGAGGAACAACUUUGUAGCAUGGGAGGAAGUUGCUCAUGUUUAUCUUGAAUCAGUCGAUUAGGAACUUUAAUCACAAGAGUGUGAGAAAGAGUGAGAAUGAGAGUGAAUAAAAGAGGGGAGAGGGAAGAGAAUUUGAAGCCCUAAAAGUGGUAUCGAUCAAAUUCCGAUUGGUACCGACCCGUAUUGAUUGAUACAAGACGAGUUUCAGCCGCAUUGGCCUGAUACAUACCUUGUAUCGAUUGAUAGGCCAUAUUUUAGGGUACUGCCUGAAACGAGCUGGUCUGUGUACCGAUCAAUCGGCGGAUCGGUAGGUACCAUCCAUUUCAUACCAUUUCGGUCGGUACAUCCAACCUUGCUUCAUGGUGCAUGUUCUUCUAGUUUUGACUUUUUUCAAUUGUAUUCAUAUAGGUGUUCAGAUACUUUUUCUUAACAUAGUGCCUAAUAUUCAUAUGUCAUUAUCUGCUUUAAACCAAGAAAUUCAGUUUCGAGUAUUGGACUCAUACUGGUCCACUAUCUAUUGGAUUGGUAUUGGUCCUCUCCAUGUUAGUGUACCUACACAUGUUACAUUGGCAUAUACUGUGGUACCAUUGACUGGUGGGUUUUUUUUUUGAGAGAGAGGGAGGGAGGUGGGAGGAUGGCAGAGAGGCUGUGGAAAAGUAACCAAGAUGAGGUGCGCAACAGGUGGACAGACGAUGGUGGUCAAAUGAUGCACUGAAGGGGAGAGAGAGGAGGCCGUAGAGAAGUAGUAGAGAUGAGGUGUGCAAAAUGAGACGGUAAAUACAGGUUGGUAUGGACUAUUACCGGCAAAUUUGAGUUCCUUGUUUUAAACAAAUGGAGAAAAAAAAUCAUAUCUAUAGAAAUUUAGUGGCUUCUACAGAUCAAUAUUUUGUAAGGGUUCAAGUUAUACAAAUUCUUUGACUGACAAGCAAUAGGAAUUUAAUAGCCCUGAAAAUGCAGUGAAGAUUGAUUAUCAUCUCACCAAUAUGGUUUUGAUAUCUGUUGCGCACUCACAAAUGUGAAAACCCAUGCCUUCUGGAAAAUAGAAAUAUGUGUAAAUUCGAGACUCUGCUAGAGGGUUGUAAUUAGAGUUUGUUUUUUUUUAAGUCUCACUUUUGGUUCCUUCUCAACCUAAAUUUGCUUGAAAUUGGGACUAUAGUGUCUAUUAUCUUAGGUUUUUCGAAAACCGAUUUUUGAGAACAAAUGUUUAUUUUUUGUCACUUCUGCUUUAUGCACCUGGCUUUCUUAAGUUCCCAAUUGAUAAUUUUUUAGUAAACUUGAUGAGCAGUAUGAUAUACAUCAAUGCUACCAGAGAACUGUGUCAUGCCUGUGUGUAACAUGUUGGGUGUUAUUUUAGUAUUUUCUGUCCGUUCCUGUCCUAUUGUGUAUAGUAAAUGACAUAUUUGGAACAUGUAUAAAAUAGGUAUAUGGACAAUUAUGGAGAUGACGUCUUGUUGUUAAUACGCUUGGCGCCUGCCUUAUUUGUUGUAAUGAAAGUGUUAUUUUAUAGAGAUGACAUGUGUCAUUGUUUUAUUGUUUUAAUGUAUUGAGUGAGAGCAUAGCUAGUUCUAUCAGAUUUUGCAUUAAAUUAAUUUGUAUAUUACAUUAAUUAAAUUCAUGUUGAUGAAGUUGUGUAAUCAAUGGGUAACAUGAGGAUGCUCUGCUAGUUUUAUCUAAAUGGCAGGCCUUUUAAAGUUUCAGUUGCAGGAACAAAAAAAAAAAAGUCUAACCAAGGUGUAGUUCCCAUCUAAUGUAUAUUCUACUUGA